rnacentral:tRNA from 1 species
GCCUGGGUGGCUCAGUCGGUUAAGCGGCCGACUUCAACUUAGGUCAUGAUCUCGCGGUCUGUGGGUUCGAGCCCCACAUCGGGCU